rnacentral:rRNA from 1 species
UGGGGGAUAUUGCACAAUGGGCGCAAGCCUGAUGCAGCGACGCCGCGUGGGGGAUGAUGGCCUUCGGGUUGUAAACUUCUUUUGCUCUGAACAAGGCGCACUUUGGGGUGUGUUGAGUGUAGGGGUUGAUUAGCGCCGGCUAACUACGUGCCAGCAGCCGCGGUAAUACGUAGGGCGCGAGCGUUGUCCGGAAUUAUUGGGCGUAAAGGGCUUGUAGGUGGCUGGUUGCGUCUGUCGUGAAAGCUCAUGGCUUAACUGUGGGUUUGCGGUGGGUACGGGCUGGCUUGAGUGCAGUAGGGGAGGCUGGAAUUCCUGGUGUAGCGGUGGAAUGCGCAGAUAUCAGGAGGAAUACCGGUGGCGAAGGCGGGUCUCUGGGCUGUUACUGACACUGAGGAGCGAAAGCAUGGGGAGCGAACAGG